UACAUAGGGGGCAAGCGUUGUUCGGAAUUACUGGGCGUAAAGGGCGCGUAGGCGGCCUGUUAAGUCGAACGUGAAAUCCCCGGGCUCAACCCGGGAACUGCGUCCGAUACUGGCAGGCUUGAAUUCGGGAGAGGGAUGCGGAAUUCCAGGUGUAGCGGUGAAAUGCGUAGAUAUCUGGAGGAACACCGGUGGCGAAGGCGGCAUCCUGGACCGAGAUUGACGCUGAUGCGCGAAAGCCAGGGGAGCAAACGGG
rnacentral:rRNA from 1 species